GAGGAAGUUCCCUUUAAAAGUAAAGUGCGCAUGCGCCACAUCCUCUUCCUCUCCAAGCGGGUUUGACGCGGGUGUGCGCUACAAGUUGUACCUCGAGAUGUGCGAGAUGGUGUUUGUCACAGACAUUGAAGAGGACAAUUUUAAAGAUCAAAGUAUUGCUGCUGGAGAAGGGUAACAUGAGAAUGACAUCUUGAGGAAUAAGGUUGAAGUAAUGCCAUUGGGAAAGGAUGUUAAAAGAAUGACAUCUUAAGAAAAUAUGAUCAAUGUAUUGCCACCGGGGAAGCGUCAUGACGUGAGAAUGGCAUAUUUAAGGAAUAAGUCUAUCAAAGUAAAGUGUUUCCAUUGGAGAAUGUUGACAUGAGGAUUGCAACCUCACAAAGGUUGUGAUGCAGCAGUGCAAUUGGAUGGAUCUGUGGAUUACCGAUCACUUGAAAGACCUUUUCAUCCUGUUACCACACUUGAAAUGAAAGUCAAUGCAGUACAUAGUUGACACUAAAAUGACUGGCAGUGUACAAAUCAAAAUAAGAAUGUAGUACCUUGAUCCUAUUCCUCCACAAUGUAGGUUGCAUAGGUGUGCACAAAAUGCAAGAUCUGUUUGCGUAAAUCUUCCAAGGCAACAUCCCGGCAGUGCAGGGAAUCCAGGUCAUGGAGAGCACAAGGAAACACUGCUUCGGGUGGAAAAGCAAGCGUAGAGGCCCCUGUGUUCCCAAGACACAUUUUCUUAUUCCCAAACAAUCAUGCAUUCAAUGUAACAGGAUCUUGACUUUAAAAUUGUAAUUGUGCUAUGAAAAUAUAAGCAAAUUUAAUAAAUUAAUUCAAACA